AUGCACCCUUAUCUGGGAAGAGGAUCUUUACUAAGGUCAUCAAAUGAAGUCCUCAGGAGGGUGCUCGCCAAGAGAGAUGUGGCUUUCUUCUUAUGUCAAAUGCAGUGGAGCUUUCCCUUCCCCUGCUGGCUGCCAACAUGCAAGAGUUCUGUUACUCAACUGGCGCAAAGUUCAGGGCUGCUACGUUCUGUGUCAAACCUGGAAAACGAUACUUCUCACUUACGUGUUUUCUUCAUGAAGGGACAUUUAAAAAAGUACAGCGGAGUAAGAAGAACGAGAAAGGUUAAGAAUCUUCAUACGUAGGACAAGAGAGGAGAAAACAGAUGGAGAGAACAAACCUUCCUCUGCCUGUGUCUGAAUUCUAUGCACACGAAAGAGAACUUUCAACGCAGUGGGUCCCGCUUGUGAGGGACCAUUGGAAACUCAGCUUGAGAGUAAAAAGAAGUGUUUCUGCCAUCUCGAACCCAACUGAUAUGGGUGCCUUUCAGAAGUGCAAAAAUGUGUAAAUAUACAAG
rnacentral:lncRNA from 1 species